ensembl:lncRNA S1PR1-DT S1PR1 divergent transcript
AGAUAGACGCUGAUCCCUGGCUGUGGAGAGGAUUCUCCCGAGCCCCUGAAAAAAAAAAAAGGUGGAGAGACUUUGAAAACUUUUCUCUCGAAAAGUCUGAGGAGGCAGAGGACGGCCCGGAGUCUCGUAGCGCACCGCCCUGGUCCCACACCCCCCGCAGCCCUAGGAGGAUCGGUGUGCUGAGCUUGUGGCCAGGAGCUCCCCGAGCCACUUUCGCGCGAGCAGCAGAAAACCUGAGCCGCGGCCCGGCGAGUGUCGGCGGCGCUCUGGGGAGGAGAGGCUGGGAAGGGGCUGCGAGAGGUACGGAGGAGACAAGCAGCCCGGGAGGGAGAAUGAACCGGGAGGUUCCUGUACUCCCCCCGCCACCCCAGAUCCUCGUGCUACUCGCAACUGCGGUCUGAGGGGCAGUGGCUUUCCCAGAGUGCACAGAGAAAUGAACCAGCGCCGGUUUUGGUGUUGGGCGAGGGGUUUCCCUCAGCUGAGCACAAAGUCAGGCUGUGUGUCCCAGAUUCUGGCCAAUGGAGAGGUCGUUGAGGGGGUGGGCUGCUGCUGAGUCCUGAGAGAUUCAAAACGCCUGGGCAGCUCAGGAAUUUCCAAAGGGGGAGAUUCUCGGCCAGGAGCUGCGGAGCAACUGCAGCUGCCCAGCAGGAGCCGGCACCCUUCUCUCACAUUCUGCUUGGGAGUCGACUCAGAGGCCUCAAAUCUCAUUACUAGCACUUUGCCCACCCUUUUCUUUUGCUUAGAUGCUACUUAAGAACGUGAGGCUGAGAGGCGGACUUGGUCAGAUCUGCCUGCGUGACAAGCUCAGGACAGGACGCUUCUGCCCUUGCAUUACUGUUGUAAAAGUUUCCACCCAGUCCCUGGUCGCACUGCGUUCCCAUCCCGGCAGAUGUGAACUCAAAAACUUCCUCCGCUGUGCAGUUUCAAUUGGCAGACACACCCUGUACCUGAAUGACUCAGAAGGAGGCAGAAUGAACAAACAACAGACCCCUGACUUCUGGGAUUUUGUGAGUUUGCCAAAAAAAAAAAAAAAAGAAGUGACAGUUAAUUCACAGCUGUUUUAAAGCAUUCAUCGACAGCGACGCACCCAAUACAUACCCACAGCUUCAACAACAGUACAGUGCAUAUAAUGUGGAAACCAAGAUAACGGUCCUCUAAGACUCCAGAGUAGAUCCUAAUUGGAUUUGAAGACUUAUUUCACUUAAAGGGGAAGAGGUAUAUUGUGUCUACCCAGCACAACAAAACGGGGGACUUGGCAUUCCCCCCCUUCUCCCGCCUCCACCCACACUAAUUUAUGCAUUCUUUAAAGCCAAAGGAAUCAAAGUGAAAUUUCACACCUAGUCUGUAUCAAGCAUGUGCUAGGUUAAUUUAACCUUACUGCUCUGUGAAGUAAGUAAGCAUUGCUGGCCAUUUUAUUGUUGAGAGAAGUGUCAUUCAGACAACUAAGGUGACUUGUAGAUUUCCCAGCUAGUGAGUGGCAGAGCUGGGUUCCAAAACCUAAAUAUUGCAAAUGCCUUGCCUUGUGGCUCAAACGCUAUCAGUCAAUAAAUAGUUAAGGAAUUGAAAUAUAUGUUCCUAGAGGGAAACAGACUUCUAGAUUUAAAGUUUUACAUUUGCUGCAUUUCUGACUGUACAAGUCUACAAAAUGCAUAUAAAAGUAUGCUAAUGAAUGUCCUUUUAAAACCACUCAUUUUCUACGUAAGCAUACAAAGUGUAUACAUAUGCAUAUUAAUGAAUGUUUUCUGAAACUUCUCAUUGUCUGCCUAUGAUAUCUCAUGUAACAUUGUACUUUUAGUAUUUGCACAUAGUGUUACACAUAUUAAUCCAUUUAAUCUGACAAGUUAGGCACUAUAAUUAUUCUAAUUUUACAAACAAGGAAAUUGACUCCCAGACAUAUUAAGCAGCUUGCUUAAUGUGGGACAGGCUGCAGACUCUUAACCACUACUCCAGACCACCAUGAUAAACCUCAAACAGGUUCAAGAAUUUCCUUGGGGAUAUCAGUUGUUUUCUUGUGAAUACCACUGGUUUUUAACAUUCAAUAUUGAUAAAGUGUUUUACAGAGUCCAAAAA